UACGUAGGCAGCGAGCGUUGUUCGGAAUUACUGGGCGUAAAGAGUGUGUAGGCGGUGCUCUAAGUUCGGGGUGAAAUCUCCCGGCUUAACUGGGAGGGUGCGCCGGAAACUGGAGUGCUCGAACGUGGGAGAGGAAAGCGGAAUUCCUGGUGUAGCGGUGAAAUGCGUAGAUAUCAGGAGGAACACCUGCGGUGUAGACGGCUUUCUGGACCAUUGUUGACGCUGAGACACGAAAGCGUGGGUAGCAAACAGG
rnacentral:rRNA from 1 species